AGCGAACGCUGGCGGCAGGCUUAACACAUGCAAGUCGAACGGGCAUAGCAAUAUGUCAGUGGCAGACGGGUGAGUAACGCGUGGGAACGUACCUUUUGGUUCGGAACAACACAGGGAAACUUGUGCUAAUACCGGAUAAGCCCUUACGGGGAAAGAUUUAUUGCCGAAAGAUCGGCCCGCGUCUGAUUAGCUAGUUGGUAGGGUAAUGGCCUACCAAGGCGACGAUCAGUAGCUGGUCUGAGAGGAUGAUCAGCCACAUUGGGACUGAGACACGGCCCAAACUCCUACGGGAGGCAGCAGUGGGGAAUAUUGGACAAUGGGCGAAAGCCUGAUCCAGCCAUGCCGCGUGAGUGAUGAAGGCCCUAGGGUUGUAAAGCUCUUUUGUGCGGGAAGAUAAUGACGGUACCGCAAGAAUAAGCCCCGGCUAACUUCGUG
rnacentral:rRNA from 1 species